rnacentral:lncRNA from 1 species
CCACCCGUCAGAACCACCCUUGGGGGACAACUUUCCUCAACAUAAUGACCAGAGGUCAGUAAGCGUCUUCGACCGGAUAGGGAACGAUCCUAGCAAUAGGAUCCGCCCUUCAAGAGGUUCGGCCCGGUCAGACAACGAAGAGGAGUAUGUCCCUCCUCCUAGAAACAGGAAGGAGAGGAGAAACUUAGUCGAUUGGGGGAGCCGGGGGAAAGCACCUCCUCCAUCCCAAGACGUCCAAGAUGACCAAGGAUCAGAGGGGCCCUGCCGAUCUUACGAGAUUGACGACGAUGACGAUAACCUCCCUUUCUCAAGGGAAAUCCGAAGCUUCCCAUGCCAACUAAUUUCAUGCCCCCAAAGAUCCCCAAGUACGAGGGAAAAGGGGAUCCGGAGAAGCACCUCACAAAGUAUAUGACGCAAAUGAGUCUUAGGGGAGCCUCACCUGCUCUAAAGUGCAGAGCCUUCCAUUUAACACUAGGCGGAGCCGCCGAGGUGUGGUACAGCAGGCUUCCUCCCCUAAGCAUCAGAAGUUGGCCGGAUUUGAAGAAAGCAUUUUUGAACCAGUACCUCUCACGCAGGGAAGGAGAGGCGCCGAUCCAACGCCUGCAAGACAUGAGGCAGGCCCCUGGAGAGACGCUGAAAAGCUAUCUCGCCAGGUUUACAGACGAGAUUACUUACUGCGAACAGGUCACUGACAGGGAAGCCCUUUCGGCCCUGAAAGGUGGUCUCAACAUGAACACUUUGUUUUGGAGGGACGUGCGCAGCAAGAAUCCCUCCACGUACGACGAGCUGGUGGAGAUGAUGAGGGUGGAAAUAAUUAGUGAAGAAAUGAUUGAUCAUCGUAACCGUGCCGCGCAGGGACUCCCUCCCCCACAGAGGCAGGUAGGUCGAGGCCCCGCAGCGCACCUUGUUACUCAGCAAUGGACCCAAGCAGGGCAUACCAUAGCUCCCACAUCCGGACAGGCCCUAGCUUCCGCCACAUUGAACGCAGUGCCGGUGUUGGCAUAUGAUAGCGCACCCACUGAGGCAGCACCAUCCGGAAGAACUGACAACAACAACAAGAAGAAGAAGAGGCCAAACAGGCCCUUGCCAGGAGCAAGAUUUUGUACUUUCCAUCAACUAUAUGGGCAUGACACCAGUGAGUGUCGGGAUGCCAACCGGCGCCCUGAUCGAAGCAAN